UAUCAGAGGAGUAGAAACAACAAGCCGCCAUUUUGUUUGUUCGGACAGACCGUCAGAAACGGGAGGAGAUAACCGAGAGAAGGAGCCUCUCCGGGACCCACCGGGGGAAAGAGAGCGGCCAAAUCCCGUCCUUGUUUUCAAGAGCGAAAGCGACACCUGAAAGAUAGGAAGUCAGUGGAGGGAAGACCGAGUCGGUGAUAAAUAUAUAUAUAUAUAUGUAUUUAUAUUCAUCCAUAUAUAUAUGUAUUUAUAUAAAUAUAUAUAUGAAUGCAUGAGGAGGAAAUACUCGGAGUAAUUGAAGGAAGGCGGUGUUUUGCGGAGCGCCGGCGGAGGAGAGGCGGAAGAGGGCUCUGCGUUACCACGAGCCGAAAACCUGCGAAAAGGGGGGGAAACAUCAACAUGAAAAAUCAUUAUGUGUCCGUCGCGGAGGAAGGAAAGAAUCCGCAUAGACAAUUAUAUAAAUAAAUUGCUGCCGGGCCGGAGGGAGAGGUGGAAAGAAAGGCUGGUUGAAAGAGAAGAGGGAAAUUGCCAGGAUCAACGCGAAGGGGGGGCAUUCUCCAUCACAAAGAGUCAACGAGAGGAUUUAGUCAGCCCGGAAUAUUUUUAAGAGGGUGUUGAUAUUAGUCUGCCGAUCAGAAGCUCUCCGCUUCCGAAGAAGCCAUAAUUUCCUCGCGACCCACCGUCAUGUGUAUUUUUUUUUUAAAUGCCAUUUUCCCCUGUGGCUCUUCGGCUGCGCUCCGGCGGUGUCUGUGUGUCUUUCUUUCUCUGUUCCCCGGCACGGCCAAGACAUCGCACCACCAAUUUCAAGUGCUUCAACCGAGCGAACACCGGGGGAGGAAGCUCUCGCGGAGCGCAAGAUAAGUAACCUCCGCAACAACAAAAAAAUCAAAACUAAUUGGAUCAAUCGGACUGUCCGCUGAUUGGCAAUUAACGCCGCGAUUGCCCUCGAGAACUGCGCCGUAAACGGAGCCUGCAUCACACUCGAUUGCAGAGAUUUUUUUGAUAAGACUUUUUUUUUCUCUCUCUUCAUCCAUUUACAACCUUUGCCAAAUCCUCGCCGAACGCGAGAGGUUUUUACUCGCGCGGAGAAAGAAAAAAAACGCCCGCAAAAACCAACCAAAUGUGCAAACACGAGCCUUGUUCUUUCUGACCCAGUGCCUUGCGUGCGCGAACACUCAAAAGUGCACAUUUCAGUCCCAAGCAUGCACGUGCACACGAGUAGUCACGCGUGGAAACACGCAUCCGCAGUACACGUUCCUUUAAUUUGAGUAAACUGCAAGUGCGGGACUCGAUCCGGUGCUUUCCCAUAUUUCAGCAGGACUGUUGAGCCAGUGAAGUUGUCUCUUCCCCCCACCUCCUCCUCCUCCUGUGGGUGGUGCAUCUGAGAGUACAACUUUACGCUUUAAAUCGUAUCGAGAACCACUACCGGUAGUCUGCAAUCGCCGGUCGACCGCCUCCUCGGUGUGGCACCGCGAGGGAGCCGGCGGGGUCCGCGUCCAGUGAGAUGUCUGCCCCGGUGGGGGAGACGGUGGAAGCAGCCGAGGCUCCCGUAACUGUUGCAUGAGCGAGCGGCCUCCAGAAGUUCACCACAU
ensembl:lncRNA